CUAGCCUCAGACUCCCAGCCCACAAGCUCUGCUCCUCUCCCAUCACUGCCUCCACUCCACGCACGGCCAAAUUCCUUCUCCCACCUCUCCUCGAUCGACCCAUCUCCCCCACCAGCAGGCCACCACUACACCACAGGAGGAGGAGCUGAUCAGCUCGUCAGCCAUAGCCUGCACGAGCUGCUGCUAGCUGCCGUGCCCCGCGCGCGCGCGCAUGCAGUGCAUGGCGCAGGAGGGCUCCGAGGCCUCCGUCGCCAGCUCGCCGCCGCCGCCCCCGCCGUCGGCCUCCUCGUCGUCCACGUCCUCCGCGGCCGCGGCCUCCUGGUGGCGCGACAAUAUGCACCCGGCGGCCUACGGCGCCUGGCCGCCCCCGCCCGCGGCCGCGCGCUGGCCCCUGAUGGCGGCGCACCACGGCCGGACGACGUCCUCCGGCGGCGCCGACGACGACCUCUCGGCCUCCAACGCCGCCAUGACGUCCUUCACCAACACCUCCACUACCAACCACUCCGGCCUCAGCAUGGACUCCUCCGUCCCCGGCGCCGCCGCCGCCGCCGAGAGCCACCUCUGGAACCAAGUCCUCAUGGGCGCCGGCGGCGAGGUCGGGAGGAGCAUGCAGGCCGUGCACGACGCCCAUGACGACAGCGAGAACUUCCUCGAGCUGCUCAACUCGAGGACGCUCGCGCCGGAGCUCUUCGCCGAGCCGCCGGCCUGCGACUACCUCAAGAAGAUGGAGUACGGCAGCAGCCACGGCGGCGGCGGAUGGCCGGAGCACCAGUUCACGGCGGCCGCGCUGGAGAAGCACCUGAGCUCCGGCUACGGCGCCGCGCUCGCGCACCACCACCACCACCACGCGGCGGCCGGCGCGCCGGAGCGGCUCACGGCGAACCUGUCCGACCUCGUGAGCAACUGGUCCAUCGCGCCGCCCAACCCGUGCCUCGGCGACGCGCACCACCGCGCCGGCGCCGGCGCGGCAUGCGAUAACGCCGCGGUGGCCGGCUUGGGCCACGGCGCCAAGGCCGGCUUGUUCCUGGACUCGGGCGGCCUCUGCAAGCACGAGAUGGGCGGCCACGGCGCGAUGCUGCAGGAAGCAGGCAGUGGCAGCGGCGCCGGCGGCCAGGAGUUCCUCCGGCCCGCGGGGUACAGCUCCAUGCUCGGGCUCAGCAGCAGCAGGACGAUGUACGGCGGUUCCGGCCCCGCCAUGGACGUGCCGUGGGGCAACAAUGCCGGCGCGGCGAGGAGCCUGUCGGACCUGAUAUCUUUCGGCGGAGCGCCGCUGGGAAAGCCGGAGCAGCCGGCGGCCACGGCACCCAAGGCGCAGGCGGCGGAGUACAAGAAGCAAGGGCAGGAGAUCUCGAUCUCGUCGCGGGCGAAGACGAGUAGCGGCGGCGGCAGCAAGGGGAGCUCGGAGGGGAAGAAGAAGAGAUCGGAGGAGCAGCAGGGGUCGGAUGGGAACACCAAGAAGUCCAAGAAUAAUGAGGCCUCCUCACCCACGUCGUCUGUCAAGUUUAACAGGCAUCGCAGGUGCCGAAAGUGAAGUUAGGAGACAAGAUCACUGCACUGCAACAGAUCGUUUCACCAUUUGGAAAGACCGAUACGGCAUCAGUUCUGUAUGAGGCGAUAAAUUACAUCAAGUGGCUGCAUGAACAAGUGCAGUUGCUGAGUGAUCCAUACAUGAAGACAAGUAGUAGCAAGGAUUACAAUGCAUGGGGAGGGCUGGAUAGGAAGGAGAAGUCAGAAGCAGAGAUGGACCUGCGAAGUAGAGGCCUGUGCUUGGUACCUGUCUCAUGCACGCCCCAAGUGUACAGGGAUAACAAUGGCCCUGACUACUGGACGCCGCCGUAUAGAAGCUGCUUAUACCGAUAAAUUUUGACUAGUAACUAUUGUUAUUCGAUUGGUUACGUUAAUAAUUUGUGGUGAAUAUAUAUGUUAAAGAAGACAAAUCAAGAUUAGCUGCAUGAGUUAAUUUAAAUUAUUAAAACCCUGAUGUACUUGGUUCUUAAUUAGAGGCUUCGUGACAUUAAUCUCAUCAGCAUUGGUAUUGAUGUAUUAAUUCUUUUGUACUCCAGGUGAGAAAGAGAUGUGUUAUCACAUUGGUAUGAUUCA